GAUUCAGAAUCGAUUUCUGGAAGAGGUAAUAAUGAGGCCAUUGAAAGAACUGAAAGCGACAGCCUCUCUCCCCCACAUGUAGGUCCGCAUUCUGAAAUUCCCAGUCAGG
ensembl:misc_RNA